AAGGUAUAUGGUCGCUCGGGAGCGAAGAAGCAGAGGCCAGGAGAGGGUGAGAAGGGAUGUGAAGGGGAGGAGGGCUCCUACUGCCCAGGGACUACAGCCGCUGGGAUAGCUGCUAUGAGGUCGCGCCCUGACUGUGUUGGGACCGGGACCGCCGGCCAGGCUGAGGUCCCGGUCCCUAUUGGUGCUUGUAGGGCCACCCAGGGGCGCAAGCGCUAGGUUCCGCGCAACUUCACUGCUGGGCCCUGCGUCCAUCCAAACUGCCCCGCCCAAGGGUGUUGGACUCCGUAUUCGGGGCUACUGGCUGCAGGCGCUGGCAGGAAGCAGGGGGGUUUGUCCAGCUGCUGAUUAGGAUAGAUUAUGUUGUUUGUGAGACACGGAAAAACCAUGCUGAGACCCUGGACUUGCGUAGGUGUCCCGCGGGCUUCCAUAUUCUUCUACUGUAUCAGAAAAGUACGGUUAGAUUGAAGAGAGCUCCGACCCAUUACCACCGCCCAUUAACCUCCAGACAAAAACCAAAAACGGUAAAACAAAAAAGUCAGGAUAUUCAGGUGAAGCGGCUUCGGGGAUCGGUGGGCAGUCACAGAGCUGGGCUGUACCGAGCCACCAGGUCUAGCGGCCCUAGGAGGAGCUGCUGGCUUGAGGGCACGCUCAGGUGGAGCCGCGGUAUCUGGACAAUCCGAGAAGCUAAGCUCUGUGGGCCGGGUGGAACGGAACUCCAAGGUCCAAAAGGUCCUUCCCAGCUACCCGGGACCUGGUGUUUGGUAACUGGCAAACCAGAUCAGCUAUGCUGGAGAAGGGGAUCGAAGCUUGGGAACCUCCGGACGGGGAAGCUGGAGUCUGGAAGGGCGGCCCAGCAGUCGCAGCCGGGAUCCACCCUUUUGAAACAGAUAAAACACUACCUCGUCAGAUAAGAUCAACUGCCUCCAUUUCUGGAUUUAAGCAGGGACCCCAGGGGCUGCGGCUGGUGAAGCCCUGGGAAUGAAGACUCACCUGGGGCCCAGAGCCCGCGGAGAGACUUUAUUUCACUUUCUUUUGUUUGAUAUUACUUUAUUUUCAAAGAGAUCUGUAGCCUUGGGCUCUGGCAGGCAAAGCCGUGUCCUGAGGACAGCCUGCAGGAUCCCCACCUCUGUCCGAAGACUUCUCCUCCCCCUCCCCCGUGCCCGCACGCAGCGAGGUGAAGCCAGCUGCUUGGGAGACAGGCGGUCCAGCAAACGCAGGCUUCAGUGCGAAGGGACUCCCGUGAAAGUCCUGCCUCUUCAUCCGGAAGAACAGGAAAGGAUUCCAUCAAAGUGUCCUCUUUUUUCCCUCCCUCCCUCUCCUUCCGUGCAGAAAUCAACCCAUGGGUGAUAGCUACCCCAGAGACAGAGUUGCAGGGACUGUAGACAAGAGGCAGAGCAGGACAAAUGGACUGUCACUUGAAUGAGUUCUGAAUCAAGACAGAAACCCUGCCCUACUGUUCUUUCGCGGACAGUUCAAAGGGUCCUAGGUGCUACCAUCUCAAACGGACCUUGGGGGCUGCAACCAGCUGCUGGCUGAAGGAAGCAAAGGGGCUUUUCUAGUUCUUGAACAAGGAAGCUGUGGCCAGGACUCUAAGAAAAACAACCCCCAAGACUUAAUCUUGGUGCAUCAGCCUUCAGCGCUACAGGCCAUUUUCUAAAUUGCUAGGAUUGAGAACAGGAGGAAGAAAACAGCAAAAGAAAACAAAGUAAAACCUUGGCUGGGUACAAAGAAGACAGUAAGGGGGCGGGGGGGGGGGAAGAGGAGAGAGAAAACCGAAGGAGACCUUAAACUUUUUAACCAGAAGAUUAGGUUAGCUGGAUGGGAAGGGAUCCAUCAAAAUCGCAGGGCGCCUCCCCCUCCUACACGUACACACAGUGAUUGGGGAGCAACUAAUUAGUCUCAACUUCAUUUAUCCUCUUUUAAAAAGGAAGGGGGAAGACAAGCAAUCCCCCAACACUAUCACCUUAAAGUAAAUACUUCUCCAUCCAGUCAUUGAAUGUUUUCAAAGAGUGUUUUAAAUUAAAAGGAAGCUAGAUGGUUCUAUUAGGCAUCCUUCAGCUAAGUAGCUUAGUCGUCAAGUGUCUCCCCCUUUUCUACAACUACUACAGUACAUCACCACAAAAGGGUUAACUGUGAUUUUUUUGGAGCAAUUAAGUAGAAUUAACUACUUUAAUGGGGGUACUUUAUUUCUUGCAGGACUUCCUUAGUCCCCAAACAAAAUCUAAAAGCAACAUUUACAUAAAACAUAAAGUACUCAGUACAGAAAUGAAGUUAUGUUUCCCCGAACACAAUAAAUCCUACUUCUAAUCUUCUCAGAUAGAAAAAUCAGCAAUGAAAAGGUCUCCCUUUGUGGGGAGGCAGGAGAAAGGAAGAGGGGACAACUUUGAAGAUUAACAUAAAACCUCCUCGGUUUCAUCUGCUAAAGUCUGUAUAGGUAAAUCAGCCACGUGCUCACAGUGACUUUAAAAACAUCUCUAGAAUUAUUGUUCUUUUCAGAUUAAAUUCAAACACAAUGGUUUGGGAGGAUGGGUGAGGAAAGAUGUUCGCUUUCUAAUUUCUCCUGAAAAAAAAAUCGGCUACC
rnacentral:lncRNA from 1 species